ensembl:lncRNA
ACUUAAUGACACAGUUUUCAUUUUGGGGUGAACUAUCCCUUUAAGUUUAGUGUUAACCUUUUGAAAUUAAAAUGUAAAACAAGAUACUACUACUACUAAUAAUAAAAAGUUAAAAUUAUUUGCAGAGCCACUUAGUCUGGGUCAUCCUCCAGGAAACUGGCACACAACAAAGAUCUCAUAAUUACAUGGUCACAGUUUAAAAAUAGUUGAAAUGGCGUGAGGAAAAAGUGACGAAGCAAAACCUGACUCACCUCCACCUGAGCGUCUCUGUAACGUUACAUCACAUCAGACACACCGGAUAAGGAGCUGUUUCAAAAAGUAUUAUGCAAUGCAUACAAUUUGUCUUUGGAAUUUGAGUCAUGUGGUGUUUCUUCAACAGGUUUAGUGAGUUUGAUGCGAUGAGGUCAUCAUGUCAAAUUCAGUAUAAAAAUCCCCAUGCUCGUCCGAUCAGCACACAACGGAUGGUGGAAACAAACACCAGCCUAAAGCAAGACUGAAGACUAUACCCACAUCUACUGCAGUCGAAGCUUCUCUGAGAGAGAUGAAGGUGAAGAUGUUGGCCGUGUUGGCUCUGGUUCUUCUGGUCUCCAGUGCGAGUGAGGGACGGAUUCUCAGUAAAUGUGAGCUGAAGUCCCAACUCGAGGCGGCAUUUGGGGGAAAUCAGGGAGGAAAUGGACCUGCAACUGUCACUAAUGGGCCUGGAAACGUAACUGUGCCUGGAGACAUGCCUGGAAACGUAACUGUGCCUGGAGACAUGCCUGGAAACGUAACAGUGCCAGGAAAUACAACUGUAAAUCCACUCAUCGCCCAAAUUGUUUGUUCUGUGGAGCAUGUUUCGAAGUUCGACACCAGCCUGGUCACCACCAUCCAAGAAGACCCCAGACCUCCAGUGAGACCUCCAGUGAGACCCCCUGUCAGACCACAACAACAACCCAAUGAAAGACCAGGGGGAAAACCUGGACGUCCCGGCAGAAGGGGAAAGAGAUCUCAUGCUGGGGCACUCAGGAGGCCAGCUGGAUUUUCUCGUGACAAUUCCGAGAGUUCCGAGAGUUCCGAGAGUUCUGAGGAGAAUGUCGCCACAAGACUGUUUGGAAUCUUCCAGCUGAGCGACCGUGUGGCCUGCGAUUCCGGAUCCGGCCAGAGUCUGAACAUCUGCAACAUGAACUGCAGAGCUCUGACUGACGAUGACAUCAGGGAUGACAUCAGGUGCCUGAAGACCCUGCUGGACAGCGCAAGAAAUGCCACUGUUUCAGCCUUCGCUUCUCCACCCAAUAAAAUGCCACUUGUAAUUCUCUCUGUGAACGAGUGCCGCAACAUCAAUCCUGCGCAGUACUUUGCUGAGUGUCGCUGAAACAUUCAACGUUUCUACAGACAUGAAUAUUCUGUUAAAUUUCAUCCCAACGUAUUAUUGUAAUAAACCCUACAGGAACUA